AUUGAACGCUGGCGGCAGGCCUAACACAUGCAAGUCGAGCGGAUGAAGGGAGCUUGCUCCUGGAUUCAGCGGCGGACGGGUGAGUAAUGCCUAGGAAUCUGCCUGGUAGUGGGGGAUAACGUCCGGAAACGGGCGGUAAUACCGCAUACGUCCUGAGGGAGAAAGUGGGGGAUCUUCGGACCUCACGCUAUCAGAUGAGCCUAGGUCGGAUUAGCUAGUUGGUGGGGUAAAGGCCUACCAAGGCGACGAUCCGUAACUGGUCUGAGAGGAUGAUCAGUCACACUGGAACUGAGACACGGUCCAGACUCCUACGGGAGGCAGCAGUGGGGAAUAUUGGACAAUGGGCGAAAGCCUGAUCCAGCCAUGCCGCGUGUGUGAAGAAGGUCUUCGGAUUGUAAAGCACUUUAAGUUGGGAGGAAGGGCAGUAAGUUAAUACCUUGCUGUUUUGACGUUACCAACAGAAUAAGCACCGGCUAACUUCGUG
rnacentral:rRNA from 1 species